AAUUAGCUAAACAAAGAAAUCAUGGCGGAUUGUUUACAUUUGGCAGCGCCCGGGCUGCGCCGACCGCCGGCCCCGAGCCGCCGCGGGCCCCGAGGAGUCGGCCGAGCUGCUCCCGCGCCCUGGCCGGACGUUUGAAACUAUUGCUUUGCUGAAAACAUCUGACUGCCAGGCUAGGAUGUGACACUUAAGGGACUUACCAAUUUGGGAUUCUUCCAGGAGCUGAAAACUGAUUACAAAUAUGAAACAGAUUUCACUACAGGACUUGAACCCUACAUUAAAAAACAACAAGCUCUCCAAAAUAAUUGAAAAAGAUCUUCACCAAAGAGUAGCUGCAAUGUGAAUGGCAGGAUAUGAAGCAAGUAAGAGAUGGUGAAAAGAUUAUCUUAAGCUUGGAAUUAAGUGAUGAAAGGGACCUUAGAAAUGAUCAACUCUAAAUACUUCUUUACAGGAAAAUUGAAAGCAGUUAAGAACCUGCCCCCUGCCAUGGAGUUCUUGGUGCCGUGAGUUGGAGUUUUUGGUGCCUGGGUGCAUCCCCAAGG
rnacentral:lncRNA from 1 species